rnacentral:rRNA from 1 species
UACGUAGGUGGCGAGCGUUAUCCGGAUUUACUGGGUGUAAAGGGCGUGUAGGCGGCUCUGCAAGUCAGAAGUGAAAUUCCCGGGCUCAACCCAGGCGCUGCUUCUGAGACUGCAGAACUUGAGUACUGGAGGGGAUAGCGGAAUUCCUAGUGUAGCGGUAAAAUGCGCAGAUAUAGGGAGGAACACCGGUGGCGAAGGCGGCUAUCUGGACAGUAACUGACGCUGAGGCGCGAAAGCGUGGGGAGCAAAC